AUCAGGUAGGGAUACCCGCUGAACUUAAGCAUAUCAAUAAGCGGAGGAAAAGAACCAACAGGGAUUGCCUCAGUAACGGCGAGUGAAGCGGCAACAGCUCAAAUUUGAAAUCUGGCUCUUUCAGGGUCCGAGUUGUAAUUUGUAGAAGAUGCUUCGGGCGUGGCUCCGGUCUAAGUUCCUUGGAACAGGACGUCAUAGAGGGUGAGAAUCCCGUAUGUGACUGGCGGCCUUCGCUCGUGUGAAGCUCUUUCGACGAGUCGAGUUGUUUGGGAAUGCAGCUCAAAAUGGGUGGUAAAUUUCAUCUAAAGCUAAAUAUUGGCCAGAGACCGAUAGCGCACAAGUAGAGUGAUCGAAAGAUGAAAAGCACUUUGGAAAGAGAGUUAAACAGUACGUGAAAUUGUUGAAAGGGAAGCGCUUGCAACCAGACUUGCGCGCGGUCAAUCAUCCGGGGUUCUCCCCGGUGCACUUGACCGCGUUCAGGCCAGCAUCGGUUCGGGCGNUGGGAUAAAGGCCUUGGGAAUGUAGCUUCUUUCGGGGAGUGUUAUAGCCCUCGGUGCAAUGCCGCCUGCCUGGACCGAGGACCGCNCUUCGGCUAGGAUGCUGGCGUAAUGGUUGUAAGCGACCCGUC
rnacentral:rRNA from 1 species